rnacentral:rRNA from 1 species
ACUCCUACGGGAGGCAGCAGUGGGGAAUAUUGCACAAUGGGGGAAACCCUGAUGCAGCCAUGCCGCGUGUGUGAAGAAGGCCUUCGGUUGUAAAGCACUUUCAGUAGGGAGGAAGGUAGUGUAGUUAACACCUGCAUUAUUUGACGUUACCUACAGAAGAAGCACCGGCUAACUCCGUGCCAGCAGCCGCGGUAAUACGGAGGGGUGCGAGCGUUAAUCGGAAUUACUGGGCGUAAAGCGCAUGCAGGCGGCCUGUUAAGUCAGAUGUGAAAGCCCGGGGGCUUAACCUCGGAAUUGCAUUUGAAAUGGCAGGCUAGAGUCUUGUAGGUAGGGGGUAGGUAAGUUUCGUAAGG